UACGUAGGCAGCGAGCGUUGUUCGGAAUUACUGGGCGUAAAGAGCUCGUAGGCGGUCUGUCGCGUCGGAUGUGAAAACCCAGGGCUCAACCCUGGGCCUGCAUUCGAUACGGGCAGACUAGAGUUCGGUAGGGGAGACUGGAAUUCCUGGUGUAGCGGUGAAAUGCGCAGAUAUCAGGAGGAACACCGGUGGCGAAGGCGGGUCUCUGGGCCGAAACUGACGCUGAGGCGCGAAAGCGUGGGGAGCAAACAGG
rnacentral:rRNA from 1 species